rnacentral:tRNA from 1 species
GGUUUCGUAGCUCAGUUGGUAGAGCAUCGGACUGAAAAUCCGUGUGUCGUUGGUUCAAGUCCAAUCGAAACCA